CCAACAUUUCUAUAGCUACUCGGUCUGAAACAAAUGGCUCAGGGGUCAUAGGCAUCUUGUUACAUUUAUUUCGGAAAAGUGUUAUAAAGCCAAGUUUAGGAAGCAAAUUGGAACUUUCCUAAUAGACAGAAAGAGGUUAAUGAGGUGAAUUAGGCAUGGGCCUAGCAUGGAGGACAGAAAGUUAAUGAGAUAGAACGGAAUAGCAUUAUAG